rnacentral:rRNA from 1 species
UACGGGGGGGGCAAGCGUUGUUCGGAAUUACUGGGCGUAAAGGGUUCGUAGGUGGCCAACUAAGUCAGACGUGAAAUCCCUCAGCUUAACUGGGGAACUGCGUCUGAUACUGAUUGGCUUGAGUGCAGGAGAGGAACGCGGAAUUCCAGGUGUAGCGGUGAAAUGCGUAGAUAUCGUAAGGAAGACCAGUGGCGAAGGCGGGUCUCUGGACAGUUCCUGACGCUGAGGCACGAAGGCCAGGGGAGCAAACGGG